UCUUGAAACGUGUGGCCCGACCGAUUCGAUCAAGUAUAAACCAAAAACUUUUUUUUAUUAUUUUAAAUUCUCGUUCAGUUCUAGUUUUAGCUCGUCAAGGAAUUGGGGGAUUUCUUGCCCAUUGCGAGAAGUUUGUGAUGGGGGUGGUGGGAAAAGCAGGGGAUUGGGCAUUUAAGGCGUUCUCGGCAGGGCUGGGCGUUGCCACCAUUUUCUUUGCUGCUUCUUUCUCCCUCAACGUCUAUCGUGGUCUCUCUUGGCAUAAUCGCCAAUCGAGGAUUGAGAAGGAAGGAUCUAAAGUCCCGCAGCAGCAGGAAUGAUGGUUUUAGACGUCCUAUACUUUAUACCUCACGUUGCUAGCUGAGUUCAUGCUGUAAGUUCUGAAUCCUUUUAAAUUAGAAAUAACUUGAAGACGAGUAUGAUUUACACAUUCUGUCAUUGUUAUUCAUUUACUGUUGCUGGCCACAUAAUUGUGGAGUUGUAAUUCUAAGUAGCUAUCUAAUUAUAGCAGCUGCUGACUUUUAAAAUGGAGUUGGAACAAUGUUUGAAAUUCAUAUGACGUGAAUUGAAAUUACUCAAUUGGAUUAAACUGA